UAAAGAAGAGCUUGUCAGAUUAGCCAAGUUGACUGCCUGAUAACCUACAUAGGGUUGUUUGUAUAUCUAUAAUAAGCAUGCAAAUUAACCACAACUCAGAGAUGGCUAGGAGCAGGCAAGUCAUCCUUGGCUAUCAAACAAGACUCUUAUCU
rfam:Ricinus communis ctg_1100012357176, whole genome shotgun sequence.